rnacentral:rRNA from 1 species
UACGUAGGGGGCAAGCGUUGUCCGGAUUUAUUGGGCGUAAAGAGCUCGUAGGCGGCUUGGCAAGUCGGGUGUGAAAACUUCAGGCUCAACCUGGAGCGGCCACUCGAUACUGCUAUGGCUUGAGUCCGGUAGGGGACCACGGAAUUCCUGGUGUAGCGGUGAAAUGCGUAGAUAUCAGGAGGAACACCGGUGGCGAAGGCGGAUCUCUGGACCAGUUCUGACACUGAUGAGCGAAAGCCAGGGGAGCAAACAGG